CAUUAAGUAACUUAAUUGAAAGUAUUGGUCUCUUAAACCAAAUUAUAGUAAAAAAUACUCUUAAUGG
rnacentral:tRNA from 1 species